AUUGAACGCUAGCGGCAGGCCUAACACAUGCAAGUCGAACGAGUGGCGGACGGGUGAGUAAUGUAUGGGAAACUGCCUGGUGGAGGGGGAUAACUACUGGAAAGGGUAGCUAAUACCGCAUACCAUCAGAGGUGCCCAGAUGGGAUUAGCUAGUUGGUGGGGGAACGGCUCACCAAGGCGACGAUCCCUAGCUGGUCUGAGAGGAUGACCAGCCACACUGGAACUGAGACACGGCCCAGACUCCUACGGGAGGCAGCAGUGGGGAAUAUUGCACAAUGGGCGCAAGCCUGAUGCAGCCAUCCCGCGUGUAUGAAGAAGGCCUUCGGGUUGUAAAGUACUUUCAGCGGGGAGGCGUUACCCGCAGAAGAAGCACCGGCUAACUCCGUGCCAGCAGCCGCGGUAAUUC
rnacentral:rRNA from 1 species